rnacentral:misc_RNA from 1 species
UCUCCGUAGGUGAACCUGCGGAAGGAUCAUUAACACGUCUAACAAACGUAUAACCAACCCGCGAUAUCUAAUUUAAUCAAACCCUUUCCCAUACUGGUUUAAAGUGGACUAAGUAAGCAUGUGGUGAGCAUAUACUCCAACUUGUUGGUUUUGUAUGCCCUUACUUUAUCUAGUACUCUCGAGGUGCACACUUGAAUCUUUAUGUUGUAAUUUUACCCCGUCACCAUUGGGUUGUUCAUUUCUGUCCUUUCGGGGGCUUAAAUGUUCAGCUCUCACCAAACCAAACCAUUUUAACCCUUUUUUUACUACAUUUUAGUCUGCUUGCAGGCUAUUAUUUCUGAUAUACAGGUGAUCGAAAGGUCAAUUCUGUUUGUUAUAUUAACAAAAGUACAACUCUUAGCAAUGGAUAUCUUGGUUCUC